rnacentral:rRNA from 1 species
GACGAACGCUGGCGGCGUGCCUAAUACAUGCAAGUCGAGCGAUCAGACGAGGUGCUUGCUCCUAUGAGGUUAGCAGCGGACGGGUGAGUAACACGUGGAUAACCUACCUUUAAGACUGGGAUAACAUUGGGAAACCAAUGCUAAUACCGGAUAAUAUAUUGAACCGUAAGGUUCAAUAGUGAAAGAUGCUUUUGCAUUACUUAAAAAUGAGCCCGCGUCCUCAUAACUAAGUUGUUAGGGUAACGGCUUACCAAGGCGUCGAUGCGUAGCCGACCUGAACGGGGGAACGCCCACACUGGAACUGAGAAACGGCCCAAACCCCUAGGGGGGGAAGCGGAAGGGAAUCUUCCGCAAUGAGCGAAGGCCUAACGGGGCAACGCGGCGUAAGGGAUGAAGGUCUUCGGAUCGUAAAACUCUGUUGUUAGGAAGGAAGUAAGGGGUAAGUAACUGUGCAUGUAUUGACGGUACCUAAACAGAAAGCCACGGCUAACUACGUG